AAAAAAAUAAUAUAAUAAUAAAAAAAAAUAUACAAAAAAUACAAAACAAAUAAAAUAAAGGAAAACAAUAAAAAGUGAGGGAAAAAAAACAAAAAAAAACAAAAAAAACAAACGACAAAAACAGUCAACUCUUAUUUACUUUUCUAGACAGUCACUGGAACCAACACACACGUUCGACCACAAUCAAUUACAACGGACAAUCCACUCGAUUUUACAUCAUAUUUUAAAAAAAAGUAUAAAUAUAUAAUAUAUAUACAUAUACUAGGUUAACUUUCAAAACGUUUUGUUUUAUUUAUGUUUUCAGAAACUUUAUGAAAUAUUUGCAUAUUGUCCUCGUCAGCUUUUAGACCAUCCCCAUAUAAGAUAAUCUUAAGAUUAAAACAAGAGAUCGUCCCGAUAGUAUCCCUUCGAAUUUCAUUAUAUUUUGGACAUUUGAAGAAAUAAUGAGAAGUAGUUUCUACUCGACCACAGGAACACAGUGCGUUCUCGAUUAGAUUUUUUUUAAAUAGAUGGUCCCUUAGAACACUACUCUGGAGCCUUAUUCUUGCUAAGCAUAUCUGUUCUCUUCUACAGCCG
rnacentral:lncRNA from 1 species